UACGAAGGGGGCUAGCGUUGCUCGGAAUUACUGGGCGUAAAGCGCACGUAGGCGGCUCUUUAAGUCGGGGGUGAAAUCCUGGAGCUCAACUCCAGAACUGCCCUUCGAUACUGGAGAGCUCGAGUCCGGGAGAGGUGAGUGGAACUGCGAGUGUAGAGGUGAAAUUCGUAGAUAUUCGCAAGAACACCGAUAGCGAAGGCAGCUUACUGGGCUGUAACUGACGCUGAUGCACGAAAAGUGUGGGGGAUCAAAACAGG
rnacentral:rRNA from 1 species